rnacentral:sRNA from 6 species
GCUAUCUGCGAUAUGGAAGAUUCGAACCUGCCGCAGGUUCGGGUCUCACGUAGUGAGACAACGGAGCCGCUUGCGGCGACGGCCCGAAGGGCGAGCAAAGCGAGUCAUCCUGCACGACCCACCA